UAUAGGUCGUAGAAACCCUAGAAAUCGGCGCCGUCGACGGAGCCAUUGCCGACUCACUCUACCUCCUAUCCCUUCCUCUUCGAGAAGAGUAGCAACAAUUAGGGUUUCGAAGCAAAAUGGUGGUGGUUUAGGCAUUUAAUGGAAAAUGGGGAGGUUGAUUUGGAUGUGAAACAAAGGGAGCACUGCGAGUUUGGUUCACGAGAUUCAUCGUUUGAUGUAAAGGAUGCAGCUUUGUAUUAGCAUCUUCUCGAGCAUCUGCAGCAGCAGCAGCAGCAGCAUUUAUAGAAGCCUUCACUCUAGGGGCUAAUAUUCUGCUGUACGAGGCAAUUAAGGACUGCUUCACAUUGGACUUCUCUGCGUCACCAUGGUAAUCCAUCUGAGCAAACCCUGCAAUAACAUGUUUACACCUAAUCAGCAAACUUUUUUGUUUUUUUUGCCUCAGCACAAAUAGAUCAUUUAUAAAUCAAGGAAAUAAUCAACACCGGCGAAUUUUUCAGUUACCCAUUGCUUA